UUUUACCCAUUCCAACACUGAUUGCAUGGCCUCCGGCCGUGCCUCAGAGCACACAGUAGAACAGCUGGAAUUGAUCAGUGGGCCCCAUAUUAACCCAUUGGUUCCAGGAGGUGGGAUUUCCUGAACCCAAAGCACUAAUUUUUGCACGUUUUUUGGUCUUUCCUUUCUGACUUUUAGGGAAGCAGGGAGCGUGUGUGGGCAAACAGGCCAAACGGAGCGGCAGCACACUGUUCCUCCAUUAGCUUCACGCAGCAAACUGAGAAGCCCAGAGAGAAAGGAAAACACAUUCUGGACGGCCUUUGUUUAUUGUUCCUCGCAGAGCAGCUCGGAGCUUACCCAGAGGAGCCUGCUGGGAGUGAGAUCGUCAGCAGACCUUAAGCUUCAGCGAGGUGGAAGGCAAUCCCCAUGGCGACCACUCUGUCGGCGUCCCCCCGGGCUGCGCAGGUGCAGCACCUGUAGUAGGCGUGGCCACAUGAGCCCGUGAGUAAGGACCCUUCAUCCCGUGCCAGCCACCGGAUAGGAGCCAGGCCAUGCUCACUGGGCCAGUCACCGGUGUCUCUCAGAAGUUGCCCCACCUGGUACCUCUCGUGCCGACUACCUGGUACCACUGUCUGAACUCCGAGGGGACAGUUCCCCGGCAUUGGCUACCCAGGACGGUGAUGAAUUCCAAAGAUGAAUUUCACUAUAUUGAACAUGGCCCAUUGCAUUUAAAAUUAAAGAGCUGGGAAGAAACCACCACUCGCUGAUGGUGAGACCACCGAGGGCCAGAGAGGGGAACCAACGAGUUCAAUGAUGUGGUCAAGAUGACGCAUCUCAGAAGCUACCAACGGGUAACACCGGAUUCACUCUGGAACCGCAAUGAUCAAACCUACCAGUUAUCAAGCAUCUUUUAAAAUAGCGUGAUAUUUCUUUCUGAGUAGAGAAACAGUACAUUGUGGAGCUCUGUAGCACAGAGCCUGCUUUAGGAUUCUCUCUCUCCCUGUCUCUGCCCCUCCCCCACUUGUACUGUCUCUGUCUCUCUCAAAAUAAAUUAAUACACUUAAAAAAAAGAAAAAUAGUACCUUGUCAUUUUAGACACUGUCAGAAAAAAGAAAAUCAAAACUGUCCAUUAUCUCGUCCCUUGGAGGCAACCCAAUAUUUACAAUUUGGUAUAUUAUAUACCCUUUUUUAUGGACAUACUUUUUACAUCACUCUGUUCAUGCACAUAAAAUUUUUUGCAGUGUGCGUUUCUCACUUAACAUUAUAAACAUUUCCCUGGUCAUCAAAAACUCUUUGUAAAGAUGGCUUUUCUAACUACGUACACUUUGACGUCAUGUGAAACUUUUCUUAAAUAUUUCCUUGUAUAAUAGUUGCUUGAUUCCAAUUUUCUGCUACUACAGAUAAUUCUGGGCUUAACAUUUUGGUCUAAGAUUUUUCUGCUCAUAUUUGUGAAAUUUCAUAAUAUAGAUUUCCUCUAAUCUCC